rnacentral:lncRNA from 1 species
UUUUUUUUUUUUUUUUCUUAUUUUGAGUUUUGUUUUGCUUACCGUGCACAUAUUAAUUUGUACAUAGAAUAAAAAUUGCCAUCAAUGAGUAAAAAAAAAAAUCAAAAUAUGGUAUGUGGCUGAAUAAUUUUUAAAUUCUUACAAUGGUGCCAAGACUUUAUUAUUUAUUUCAUUAUUUUUUUCUGUCUUUUUGCCAUUUCUAGGGCUGCUCCUACAGCAUAUGGAGUGGUGAAGUUUCAUACUUGGCACUUUUUAUUUAAUGUGACAGACAUUGACAUUGUACUGAUUCCUAUUCUAUGUAAAGCACUUAAAAUGCCACGUCUGUGAUAGGCUCUUAAUAAAUAAUUACUGUAUUAUCCUAAUCAGCCACAUCACCAGAAGAAACGGGAAGUGAGCCUUUCCUACAUGAUGUGAUUAAAACACAAGGGGGCAUCUUUCUUCCCUCCUUUCUCUUCCUGUCAAAUUCCCAUCUUCCUCUGGCCUCCAAUCCCUUCUCUACUGCCUUCUUUCCUCAUCUUCUUUUUGGUUUCAAGUCAUACCUUCUGGAGAUUGAGGAAACAUAAGAAAAAGGAUGAGAACACAUAACAUUUAGGUCUAAAGAGAACAAUUAUGGAAAAAUAAACAGAACAAUGACGGAAAAAUAAUUUGGCUUCUGCUUCAAAGUAGGGAAGUGCCCACCCAGAGCCAGAAGAAACGGAUGGUCCUUUCCCAGUGGUUGGUAUUUAAUUAGCACUAUGCUAUUGUUAAUUGACUCUGCCGUCACAGGGAUAAAUCAUUUACAAGUUAUUCUGGGGGCUCCUCCUGUUGCCACCACCAUGGCAUCAAUCUCAUCAGCUUUGUCAUUACAGAGCUCAGCCAUUUCUCACCUUUUCAGGAACUCUGCAUGAAUUUGACCUCAAGAAGUAUUUGGCCACUGUCAUUUUAGCUAUUAAAUGUCAGAUUCAGACAUCUCAAACUGUCUGUCAAGACACCACAUUCUGGCAGCAAUGAACCCAUUACAU